GUACACUCCUACGGGAGGCAGCAGUGGGGAAUAUUGGACAAUGGGCGCAAGCCUGAUCCAGCCAUGCCGCGUGAGUGAUGAAGGCCCUAGGGUUGUAAAGCUCUUUCACCGGUGAAGAUAAUGACGGUAACCGGAGAAGAAGCCCCGGCUAACUUCGUGCCAGCAGCCGCGGUAAUACGAAGGGGGCUAGCGUUGUUCGGAUUUACUGGGCGUAAAGCGCACGUAGGCGGACUAUUAAGUCAGGGGUGAAAUCCCGGGGCUCAACCCCGGAACUGCCUUUGAUACUGGUAGUCUUGAGUUCGAGAGAGGUGAGUGGAAUUCCGAGUGUAGAGGUGAAAUUCGUAGAUAUUCGGAGGAACACCAGUGGCGAAGGCGGCUCACUGGCUCGAUACUGACGCUGAGGUGCGAAAGCGUGGGGAGCAAACAGGAUUAGAAACCCCUGUAGUC
rnacentral:rRNA from 1 species